rnacentral:rRNA from 1 species
ACUCCUACGGGAGGCAGCAGUUAGGAAUAUUCGGCAAUGGGGGAAACCCUGACCGAGCGACACUGCGUGAAGGAGGAAGGCCUUAGGGUUGUAAACUUCUGAACGAGAGACGAUAAUGACGGUAUCUCGGUAAUAGCACCGGCUAACUACGUGCCAGCAGCCGCGGUAAUACGUAGGGUGCAAGCGUUGUCCGGAAUUAUUGGGCGUAAAGAGCUCGUAGGCGGUUUGUCACGUCUGCUGUGAAAAUCCAAGGCUCAACCUUGGACUUGCAGUGGGUACGGGCAGGCUAGAGUGCGGUAGGGGAGAUGGGAAUUCCUGGUGUAGCGGUGGAAUGCGCAGAUAUCAGGAGGAACACCAAUGGCGAAGGCACAUCUCUGGGCCGUAACUGACGCUGAGGAGCGAAAGCGUGGGGAGCGAACAGGAUUAGAUACCCUGGUAGGUCAGUC